AGGGUUUGAUCCUGGCUCGGAACUAACGAUAGCGGUGUGCCUAUUACAUGCAAGUCGAGCGAGAACCACUUCGGUGGGGAGAGCGGCGGAAGGGUGAGUAAUGUAUAGACAACCUACCUUUUAGUGGGGGAUAACAGUCCGAAAGGGCUGCUAAUACCGCAUGCGAUUAUUGAUGCGCCUGUAUUAAUAAUGAAAGUGGGGGACCGAAAGGCCUCACGCUGAAAGAGGGGUCUAUAUUCUAUUAGCUAGUUGGUGGGGUAAUAGCCUACCAAGGCGAUGAUGGAUAGCCGGCCUGAGAGGGUGUACGGCCACACGGACACUGAGAUACGGGUCCGACUCCUAUGGGAGGCAGCAGUAAGGAAUAUUGGGCAAUGGGCGCAAGCCUGACCCAGCGACACCGCGUGAAUGAAGAAGGCCUUCGGGUUGUAAAGUUCUAACAUAAUAUUAAGAAGGUACAUAUGGUUAAGAGCUAUUUGUAUUUGACUGGUAUUGAAUGAAGUCAUGGCUAACUCUGUGCCAGCAGCCGCGGUAAUACAGAGAUGGCAGUCGUUGUUCGGAAUCACUGGGCUUAAAGGGCAUGUAGGCGGGAAUUUAAGUUAGUUGUGAAAGUCCAUAGCUUAACUAUGGAAUUGCAGCUAAAACUGAACUCCUUGAGUGCGAUAGGGGAGAGUGGAACUCCUGGUGGAGCGGUGAAAUGUGUUGAUAUCAGGAGGAACGCCGGAGGCGAAAGCGACUCUCUAGAUCGUAACUGACGCUGAGGUGCGAAAGCUAGGGUAGCAAACGGGAUUAGAUACCCCGGUAGUCCUAGCCGUAAACGAUGAGUACUAGGUAGAGGGAGCAAUUUCUCUGCUGGAGCAAAAGUAUUAAGUACUCCGCCUGGGGAGUAUGGUCGCAAGGCUGAAACUCAAAGGAAUUGACGGGGGCUCGCACAAGCGGUGGAGCAUGUGGUUUAAUUCGAUUCAACGCGAAGAACCUUACCUGGAAUUGCAUGGUAGGUUAAACCAUCCGAAAGGGUGGGGCCACUACGCAAGUAGUGGGACUAUCACAGGUGCUGCAUGGCUGUCGUCAGCUCGUGCCGUGAGGUGUUGGGUUAAGUCCUAUAACGAGCGAAACCUUUGUCCUUAGUUGCCAGCGGGUAAUGCCGGGGACUCUAGGGAGACUGCACACGUUAAGUGUGAGGAAGGUGGAGACGACGUCAAGUCAUCAUGGCCUUUAUAUCCAGGGCUACACACGUGCUACAAUGGCUGGUACAAAGGGAAGCGAAGUCGUAAGGCGGAGCAAAUCCCAAAAAGCCAGUCUCAGUUCGGAUUGAGGGCUGCAAUUUGCCCUCAUGAAGUUGGAAUCGCUAGUAAUCGUGAGUCAGCAAUAUCACGGUGAAUGUGUUCCCGAGCCUUGUACACACCGCCCGUCAAGCCACCGAAGCAGGGGUAGCCUGAAGUUGCUGAUCUAACCUUUUCGGAGGGGGAAGGCACCUAGGGAAGCUCUUGUGACGGGGACUAAGUCGUAACAAGGU
rnacentral:rRNA from 1 species